rnacentral:rRNA from 1 species
GAAAGUAAACAAGGGCGCAUGGAGGAUGCCUAGGCUCUCGAAGGCGAAGAAGGACGUGAUAAGCUGCGAAAAGCUACGGUAAGGAGCAAAUAUCCGCUGACCCGUAGAUCUCCGAAUGGGGCAACCCGUCGUCGCAAGGCGACACACUGCAAGUCAGUGGGCAAACGUGGGGAACUGAAACAUCUCAUUACCCACAGGAAAAGAAAAUAACAAUGAUUCCGCUAGUAGUGGCGAGCGAACGCGGAAGAGCCCAAACCGUUCCUGUUUCGGCAGGAGCGGGGUAGAAGGACCGCCGAUAAAGGCAAGAGCGGAGGAAGUCGAACCAAUUGGAAAGUUGGAUCAAAGAAGGUGACAAUCCCGUAGACGAAUCCGAAGCGAAGCCGAGGCGGCACCUGAGUAGUGCGGGACACGAGAAAUCCUGUAUGAAUCCGCGGGGACCAUCCCGUAAGGCUAAAUACUCCCGAGAGACCGAUAGCGAACCAGUACUGUGAAGGAAAGGUGAAAAGAACCUCGAACAGAGGAGUGAAAUAGACCCUGAAACCAUGCGCCUACAAGCGGUCGGAGCUUCUAUAUGGAGUGACGGCGUGCCUUUUGCAUAAUGAACCUACGAGUUACUUUUGUUGGCCAGGCUAAGGGCUUCAGGCCCGGAGCCGAAGCGAAAGCGAGUCUGAACAGGGCGUCAUAGUCAGCAGGAGUAGACGCGAAACCAAGUGAUCUACCCAUGAGCAGGUUGAAGGUUGGGUAACACCAACUGGAGGACCGCACCGGUAAACGUUGAAAAGUUUUCGGAUGACUUGUGGGUAGGGGUGAAAGGCUAAUCAAACUUGGAGAUAGCUCGUACUCCCCGAAAUGCAUUUAGGUGCAGCCUUCGGGUUCGAGUUGAAGAGGUAGAGCGACUGAUAAGAUGCGAGGGCUUCACCGCCUAUCAAGUCUUGAUAAACUCCGAAUGCUUCAACUCAAGACCGAGGAGUGAGGGCAUGGGUGCUAAGGUCCAUGUCCGAGAGGGAAACAACCCAGACCAUCAGCUAAGGUCCCGAAAUAAUAGCUAAGUUGAAUUAACGAAGUAGAAUUGCAAAGACAGCUAGGAUGUUGGCUUGGAAGCAGCCAUUCAUUUAAAGAGUGCGUAACAGCUCACUAGUCGAGGAAUUCUGCGUGGAUAAUAAUCGGGCAUAAGCUAUUUACCGAAGCUAUGGAAUAUGCAAAUAUUGGUAGGGGAGCAUUCCACGGGUCGCAGAAGGCCUGUUUUGAGACAGACUGGAGACAGUGGAAAAGCAAAUGUAGGUAUAAGUAACGAUAAAGGAGGCGGGAAACCUCCUCGCCGCAAGACCAAGGGUUCCUGAUCAACGCUAAUCGGAUCAGGGUAAGUCGGGCCCUAAGGCGUAGCCGAACGGCGCAGCCGAUGGCAGAAACGGUUAAUAUUCCGUUACUGAAUGUAGGAGUGACGCGGAGACGGAGCAGUGACACAUCCGCCUGCAGACGGAAUAGCAGGUUGAAGAGUGUAGAUAUUGUCCCGGUAGGCAAAUCCGCCGGGAUAGUCGAACUUGAUAGUACCGGGCGUCCUCGGACAACCGGAUAGCGAUGGUAAUCAGACUCCCAAGAAAAUCCGCUAAACAUAUGCUACAUUCACCCGUACCCCAAACGGACACACGUGGUUGGGUAGAAUAUACCAAGGCGCUCGAGAGAUUCACGGUUAAGGAACUAGGCAAAUUGACCCUGUAACUUCGGGAGAAAGGGUCCCGACUGAAAGAAGUCGGGCGCAGAGAAUAGGUCCAGGCAACUGUUUAACAAAAACACAGGGCUGUGCGAAAUUGGAAGAUGAAGUAUACAGCCUGACACCUGCCCGGUGCUGGAAGGUUAAGAGGAGACGUCAUCGCAAGAGAAGCGUAGAAUUGAAGCCCCAGUAAACGGCGGCCGUAACUAUAACGGUCCUAAGGUAGCGAAAUUCCUUGUCGGGUAAGUUCC